AGGACUAACGCUGGCGGCGUGCCUAACACAUGCAAGUCGAACGAAGUAGCAAUACUUAGUGGCAGACGGGUGAGUAACACGUAGUCAACCUGCCCUUCAAUGGGGGAUAACUAGCCGAAAGGUUAGCUAAUACCGCAUACGAUCUCUGAGUGGCAUCACUCGGCGAUGAAAGGAGUAAUCCGUUGAAGGAGGGGACUGCGUCCCAUUAGUUAGUUGGUGGGGUAAUGGCCUACCAAGACUCCGAUGGGUAGCUGGCUUGAGAGAGCGACCAGCCACACUGGAACUGAGACACGGUCCAGACUCCUACGGGAGGCAGCAGUGAGGAAUUUUCCGCAAUGGGGGAAACCCUGACGGAGCGACGCCGCGUGUGGGAAGAAGGCCUUCGGGUCGUAAACCACUGUCGAGGGGGACGAUAUUGACGGUACCCCUGGAGGAAGCCCGGCUAACUACGUGCCAGCAGCCGC
rnacentral:rRNA from 1 species